AAGCGGAGCUACGGGUGCUGGGAAACCAGAACUAGCCAGUUUUCUAAACAGAGUGGUUAGCAAAAUUACAUGUUGUGAAAUGGGGCUCCAUCCUUUAAAGGAUCAUUACCUAUUUUUAAAAGAACCUGUCCAAUGAUUCUUCUUGACAGCCAGAUGUGGACAGAUGGUAAAUGCCAGAUAACAAGCAGUCCUCAUUCUCAAGCUUUUGAACUUGAACAAGGAAGGACCUUGGCCAUUGAUCUCUCCAGCACCUAUAACUUUGGAUGAAGGCUUGGCAUCUGUCUACUAUUGGCUCUGGAAUGUUGCAGUUGCCACUUUUAGGGUUUUGAACACACAGUGCUCACCACCUCAACCACCAAAAUAUGGUCAUUGCCUCUGUGUCCACACAGCUGAGCUCCAUGUGAGGGUGAAGCACAAAUGACGUUGUAAGCAUGGCCUUCCUCUGGACCCAUGGAGGCAAAACCAAAAACCUUGAAGGCUUUUCAUAAGAUGCAAAACAAAGAAGAAUCUGGAACUAGGAUUCAGAUGCCACCAGGAUUCAGAAUCUACAUCAUCUCUCCAAACUACACAUGGAACACGUCUCUUCUUGUCCAGCAAAGUGUUUGGUCUUAGCCUCUACACUGGAAGCUCCAUGCUGCUAACUGCCUACAGAGUGUAGAGUCUGGCUCCAGCAAGGAAGAAAAUGCCUGUGUAUUGAAAUCCUUGGUGAUGGCAAGCCACCAUGCUGCCAUGGAAUGAAAGAAAAAGCAGAGAAGACAAAGAGAUAGUCAUUACAUAAUCCUUUUCCAUUUUAUUCUACUGUCCCCUGUUUCCUCAGAAGCAACCGAAACUUCUUUAAACAUGGUCCCUCUUUAGUCCCUCUCUGCCUGGGAAACCACACAUCAUGUGCUACGGAUCCUAAAGAUCACAAUGCUUGGAGCUCUUUCAAAAACUGAAAAGGACUGCCAUCAGAGUAAAACAAAUUCAGCCCUGCCCCCAGCCCAGCCAUGCCCUAGUGGGGGUAUUUGUAUAUGGCACUGAAUCUUGUAGGCUCUGAAGUAAGGAUGCACCAUUAACUGUAUGGACUAUUAUGGUUUUUGAAGAUUUAGUCAAAAAAAACUUUAAGUGACUAGCCAAAGGUCUGAUCGGUGGCAAGCAGUGGCUGAUGCCACUCCUCUUCUCCCCUUUGUCUUUAUCAUGGGGGAUUUUGAAAUAGGAAGGCUUCACAGGAUCCUUCAAACCCUGAAAAUUACAUCUAAGUUGGUUGUAUCCACGAAGGAUCUUAUUUUUAAAGAAGGUAUCUGUAUAUGUUUUCCAGGGUUGUCUUAACUAAGCACCAUACAUCUAACCAACAGAAACAUAUUACCUUGCAGUUCAGGUGGUUGAGCC
rnacentral:lncRNA from 1 species